GGCUGCAGCUUUAUUAGAAACGGUCUUUGACUUCACAAGUGGUUGCUUAUUGCUCUUCCCCAUUCCAUUAGCAAGCAGCCAACGAGAACCAGAUUGUUGCUGAGCUGUGGUACCCCAAAGCUUCUUCUUGCUGGGUUCAGUCUUGAGACCAGUAACAUGUGCCUCACUGAUGCAGAACUGAGGAAUUUCUUCCUCUUCAGAUGCUUUU
rnacentral:misc_RNA from 1 species